AAACCGGAUGCCGAAAAGGUUAUAGAGUAGGCG
rnacentral:ncRNA from 1 species